rnacentral:rRNA from 1 species
CAGCACCUCAAGUGGUCAGGAUGAUUAUUGGGCCUAAAGCAUCAGUAGCCGGCUCUGUAAGUUUUCGGUUAAAUCUGUACGCUCAACGUACAGGCUGCCGGGAAUACUGCAGAGCUAGGGAGUGGGAGAGGUAGACGGUACUCGGUAGGAAGGGGUAAAAUCCUUUGAUCUAUUGAUGACCACCUGUGGCGAAGGCGGUCUACCAGAACACGUCCGACGGUGAGGGAUGAAAGCUGGGGGAGCAAACCGGAUUAGAUACCCGAGUAGUCC